rnacentral:misc_RNA from 1 species
GAUGAAGAACGUAGCGAAAUGCGAUAAGUAAUGCGAAUUGCAGAAUUCCAGUGAGUCAUCGAAUCUUUGAACGCACAUUGCGCCCUUUGGUAUUCCGAAGGGCAUGCCUGUUCGAGCGUCAUUAUCACCCCUCAAGCCCUCGGCUUGGUGUUGGACGGUUUGGUGGAGGCCCCCUCGGGGGCUCCUGCCCCUCCCAAAGACAAUGACGGCGGCCUCGUUGGACCCCCGGUACACUGAGUUCUUCACGGGACACGUAUCGGACACAUGGGUUUACGGGACACGGUCUGCCUCCCCUCAGGGAGAAUCUUUAUAAGGUUGACCUCGGAUCAGGUAGGGAUACCCGCUGAACUUAAGCAUAUCAAUAAGCGGAGGA